GGGGCUUUUGCACGUGCUGUGGCCUCUGCCUGCCCCCACCAUGCGCUGCCCUUCUGCGGGUGUGGGUGACCCUUUCACCGUGCUUCACAACACUACUUUUCUCUCUUUUCUGAAGACUUUUCCAUACUGUACUAUGACUGCCCAUGUGCUUGUCUGUAGCUGUUUCUAAACUGCCGGUUCCACGGGGGCUGGGUCAUCUUGUUCGCUCUCAGAUUCUCGGGGCGCUGAGCAUGCUGUCCAGGCACAGAAAAUGUCAAGGGAGAAAGGGAGCCAAGCUCUUGAGUCUCAGCUGCCUCCCCUGUGGAGCGAUGGCAAAGCUGAUCCUGCAGGGCACCAAGGGGUGGACACGGCGUGUGGUCUGUGUGACAUCUGCCACCGUGCCCGGCAUUGGGCAGGCAUUUCACACCCGACGCUGACGUAAUGGAGGGUUCGCAUGCACUGGCGGAGGACCUCCUGUUUUCACUGUUCUAGAAGACACCAGCUGAUGUCCUGCCAUCGUUUGUCACCUCUGGGGGCCACACCGAUUAAGUGUCAGCCCCAGAGAGAAUUCCUGUCCUUCCCUGUCCCAGCCAUCCCAUUUUGGCAGCUUGCCCGCUGAGCAGAGAAAACCUCUGAGUCCGCUCUCUUCUCAGAACCAACUGUGUUUAUCACCAGCAUGUCACGGAAUUGAGAACGUCCAGGGAUUCCAGGGACCAGCGGUGCUGAUCUCUCAUUUUACACCUAGGACACAGGUUUAGAGAGGUCUUCUGACUUGCUCACGGCUACGCAGCUAGUUCGGGACCUCAUUUUCUCUUUCUUUUUGGCAGAAGUUUAAUUCUGUCUGGUUAAAACUGUGGGGACCCUGAGGAAUUUGGCAGGAGCUGUUGACUCUACCUUCUGGAUCCUGCCAGAGCCACAGGAUGCUGUGAGUGUGCACGGCUUGGAACGUUCCCACUUUCCAUUAGGGGCUCAGAUCCAGAGGAGUGACUCACGCUUCUCAGAUGUAGGAACAGAAAUGUUGUGGCUGCACUGAAAGGUAUGCGGAAGGAAAUCAGCAGACGCCUGAACUUCAGCCAGGGGGACGAGCAAGGAUGACCGCACAGGCCCCAGUGCGGCAGGAGGGGGGAGCCCCUCCUCUGACCUUCUGGAAGAGGCCGAGGCAUCCAGCUUGGGUUCAAAUCCCAACUCUGCCUCCUGGAUGCUGGGGGACAUUGGGCAAGUCACUUGGCUUGUCUGAUCCUUUGUUUUCUCAUCCUUUAAAUGAGGACAAUAUCUCUCUUGCAAGUUGUUGUAAAGAUUGUGAUAUUUUAUAUAAGCAUAAGUAUACAUAUAUAUA